CUAAUAGUCAAUCUUAAAAGUUGAACUUUUAAAAUCGACCAUGAUAAUAAUCAAUCUUAAAGCUGAACUUUUAAGAUCAGUCAUGGU
rnacentral:miRNA from 1 species